rnacentral:rRNA from 1 species
UUCCAGCACCCCGAGUGGUCGGGACGAUUAUUGGGCCUAAAGCAUCCGUAGCCGGUUCUGCAAGUCCCCCGUUAAAUCCAGCUGCUCAACAGAUGGGCCGCGGAGGAUACUACAGAGCUAGGAGGCAGGAGAGGCAAGCGGUACUCAGUGGGUAGGGGUAAAAUCCGUUGAUCCAUUGAAGACCACCAGUGGCGAAGGCGGCUUGCCAGAAUGCGCUCGACGGUGAGGGAUGAAAGCUGGGGGAGCAACCGG